rnacentral:snoRNA from 1 species
AAGCAAUGAUGCGGGCACUUUCUCUAUAGGUCCUUAAAUCUCUCUCAAGCUUCAUACAAACUCUCUUGAUCAUGGUGGGCAAAAGUCAUUAUCUCAUUGCGAAGCUU